rnacentral:rRNA from 1 species
CCUACGGGAGGCAGCAGUGAGGAAUAUUGGUCAAUGGACGCAAGUCUGAACCAGCCAAGCCGCGUGCAGGAAGACGGUUCCAUGAGUUGUAAACUUCUUUUGUAAGGGGGCAAACGCAGAUACGCGUACCUGUCUGAGAGUAUCUUACGAAUAAGCAUCGGCUAACUCCGUGCCAGCAGCCGCGGUAAUACGGAGGAUUCAAGCGUUAUCCGGAUUUAUUGGGUUUAAAGGGUGCGUAGGCGGACGGUUAAGUUAGAGGUGAAAUCCCGGGGCUCAACUUCGGCAUUGCCUUUGAUACUGUUUGUCUAGAGAGUAGUUGCGGUAUGCGGAAUGUAUGGUGUAGCGGUGAAAUGCUUAGAGAU